UACGUAGGGAGCAAGCGUUGUCCGGAAUCAUUGGGCGUAAAGCGCGCGUAGGUGGCCCCGUAAGUCAGCUGUGAAAGUCCAAGGCUCAACCUUUGAAAGCCGGUGGAUACUGUGGUACUAGAGUACGGAAGAGGAGAGUGGAAUUCCUGGUGUAGCGGUGGAAUGCGCGGAUAUCAGGAGGAACACCAAUAGCGAAGGCAGCUCGCUGGGACGCUACUGACGCUGAGGCGCGAAAGCGUGGGGAGCGAACAGG
rnacentral:rRNA from 1 species